rnacentral:snoRNA from 1 species
CCCUAAUGUCCAUCUCAGAAGCAGAAUCAAGAAAAGCAAGCAUCUUAAGAGCCCGAUAAUAAUACAUCAUUCCCCUAACAG